GACGUAGGGCGCGAGCGUUGUCCGGAUUUAUUGGGCGUAAAGAGCUCGUAGGCGGCUUGUUGCGUCAGCUGUGAAAACCCGCAGCUCAACUGUGGGCUUGCAGCUGAUACGGGCAGGCUUGAGUUCGGUAGGGGAGACUGGAAUUCCUGGUGUAGCGGUGAAAUGCGCAGAUAUCGGGAGGAACACCAGUGGCGAAGGCGACUACCUGGCCUGUUCUUGACGCUGAGGCGCGAAAGCUAGGGGAGCAAACGGGG
rnacentral:rRNA from 1 species